rnacentral:rRNA from 1 species
CCUACGGGAGGCUGCAGUGAGGAAUAUUGGUCAAUGGGCGGUAGCCUGAACCAGCCAAGCCGCGUGAAGGAAGAAGGCGCCAAGCGUCGUAAACUUCUUUUGUCGGGGAACAAAGGGCGCACGGGUUGCGUUUUUAGUGUACCCGAAAAAAAAGCAUCCGCUAAAUCCGUGCCAGCAGCCGCGGUAAUACGGGGGAUGCGAGCGUUAUCCGGAGUUUUUGGGUUUAAAGGGUGCGUAGGCGGUCCGGAAAUUCAGCGGUAAAAGCCCGGGGCUCAAACCCGGCGAGCCGUUGAAACUGUCGGACUAGAGACGGCGAGAAGUACGCGGAAUGCGCGGUGUAGCGGUGAAAUGCAUAGAUAUCGCGCAGAACUCCGAUUGCGAAGGCAGCGUACCGGCGCCGGACUGACGCUGAGGCACGAAAGCGUGGGUAUCGAACAGGAUUAGAUACCCCUGUAGUC